rnacentral:lncRNA from 1 species
UUAAAAAGUUAUGAUUCUCUUUAUUUUUAUUCUCAAUACUUUUUAUAUAGUUUUAAAAAUAUAUACAUAAUACCAUAAUAUGUAUUAAAUUAAAUUUUUCUAACAUACAAUUUAUAAUAAGCAGAGAUUUAUGAUUGAUAUUAGCUAUAAUUAGCUUUAACAUUACACAAGACAACCAAACCCAAAGCAACUAUAGCCACUUUAUUUUAUUUUAAAAAAGCAAACAUAUAUGAUAUGCUUUUUCUACAUUAUAUCAUUACAUAUAUUGCCUCCAAUAUCUCUGCUUCAACCUUUCAUGUGUUGCACUUCAUUUGCAGUUGCAAGGGUCACAAGUGCAGCUAUCACCACACUUGCAGCCACCAUCCUCAGCUGCAACACUCAUUUCAGCACCAUCAAACUGGAUCUUCGCCGGACCGACGCCAAGAAUCACGGUUUCUGUGGUUUCCAUUUCGGAGUAGCUCAAUCCACUAGACCUCUUGUUGCAUCUGCACAGCAAUAAAAAUCAAAAUAAUCCAAUAAAAUAUUAACAAAUUUUUUGCAAGAUUGAUUCUUAAGAAAAAAAAUAAAUACCAACAGAUUAAUAACCAUAUAGAAAAAAAUAAUUAUAUAGAUUUUAAUGUAAGGAAGAGUUAAGGUGGUGGAUCCUUACUUGCAGCUAUCACCACAGUUGCAACUGCUUCCACAACCACAGCUAGACAUAUUUUCAGAAACUAAGAUUUUUUUUGCAAACAACAAUUGAUAUUAAUUGCUUGGUUAGUGUUAUCUUCUAUAAAAGUGGUGUCUUUUAAUGAUGCUGUGUGACUCCAAUUUAUAAGGUGGAAGAGAAUAAUCAGUGAAAUCUUGACCGUCCACGUGUUGUAAUCUUGUGUUGUAUGGGUCCACAAGCCUACGCUUGGAUCAAUUCCUAGUAGACAUCGUUUUCAUUGCACGUCUUAUUGUGGUGUUGGCGAUAAAAUUGUUGCAUGCUUGCUGAUUGGUUUUCACAAAACAUGAUAUUUUAUUGAUUUUAUAAAUUUACUUUUAUUAACAAAUCAUAUUUGAAUAUAAAAGUCACCGCAACGUUUUUGCUUUUUGUACUUUUGGAGAAACAAUUGUUUGAUGAGAAAUAGAAUUUUGAAGCGGUAGGAUAAGUUUUCGGUACGAUAGAGAGAAGUUAAUAGUGAAAAAGUUAAAAAUAUAUAAUGAGGAAGAAUGAAUUUGAUUAUUUAAAAAUGACAUUUUUUUUCUUUUAUGGUUGAGGUGGUUAAAACCGCAAGCGAGGAGUGUGGCGUGAAUUGUCAUCACUGGUUCGAUUGAUCUGGACUGUUGAUAAUGUUUUAGAGGUGAAAUUGUCUAUUCUCAACGAGGAUGGAGGAACACUUGUUUCUCGCAUGCGCUCCUUUGCUUAGGUUUCGUCCAUUGCCUUGUGAGCGGCCACAAAUUGUUGUCCCCAAACCCUUGCUAUUGCUUUGUAAGAUACGUGUUUGCUAUAUACGUUCUAGACCGAUUGAUUGGCAUGAGGAGAUGAAGAGCUCUGAUGGGACAUCACUAUUAUUGGUAACAUACACAUUAAGUAUCUUUCUAGUAAUAAAUCUGAUGUGUGUUCCUAUGCUAGUUCCUAAUGAUUCUUCGUCUUCCUUAGAGAACUUAAGUACUUUGCAUAAUCUUUGAUGAAAUAUCGAUCGUCGAUGGUGCGUAGUAGAUCAUAUGAUCUCUAGUGGUAAAGGCACAUAUAAAAGAUCUCUAAAGCAUCAUUUUUCUAUUUAUUGUCAUCUGCAACCUGUGAAAGAUCUUAUUCUUGUCUUGCCAACUUCGUUCUUUAUCGAUAACUCUUUAAUUCUAGUUUCUUGCCUAAGCUCACAUGCAAUUUUCGUUUGGUGGCCUUUGAUACGCACACCAACCUACUUGUUUUAAGGUAAAGCCAAUGACUUAUUCUUGCUUUUGCCUUUUUAUAGUAUUUUUUGGACAAUGAGUUUUUUAGAAUGGACAUUCCAUCUUACAUAUUUUGCAAGGAAAUGAGGAUAUUUAUGUUGGACAAGCAUUAACUACCAUACAACGUAAUAUACCUACUAAGACUUCUGAGUCUCAUUUCCCUUGAAGGAGGAACACACAUACAUGUACUUUUUAACUAGUACAAUGACGUCCAUCGUGGGUCUUUGUAAAACUAUCAUAUGCCACACCGUGUUCAUCACCAUCACCCUGCAUGUUGUUACCCUUCACUCAUACACCUAGCCAUUUACAUCCAUGGCAAACAGGAGAGCUUCAUCCCCACACCAGAAGAUACCAGUAGUAUUGGUGAUGUCGAUGCUCUAGCAGAGAUGCGUGCCUCCAUGGAUGAGUUACGUCGCUAUAACCACACGCUGGAGGAUGAUGUCCACAAUAUCAAACAACGCCAAUAGGAUUCCAAUCCCUAGAGGAGAUGUAAAUGUUAGACCCCUAGCCGCUCUCAGAUGAGAUAUGGGGGAUAUAUGCCCCGAGGGUUUCAAACAUCCAUACUUGGCCAAUUUUGAUGGGCGCAAAGAUCCCUACGAGCAUGUCGCCUCCAUCAAUACAAAGAUGGCCAUUAUAGGAGUACCUGCCUCCCUGAAGUACAAGCUGCUAUCUAGCAUUUUUAGGGACGUCGCCCUUCGAUGGUAUAUGGGUUUAUCCGUGCCUCCAUCAACAACUAUCAUAAACUGGUAAAGAAGUUAGUACACCAAUUCCUCGCCACAGAAAGAUGUCCACCACACGCCUAUUUAACAUAUGUCAGGGUCCAUCAAAGUCUCUGAGGGGCUACUUCUACUGCUUUAACGAGGCCACCAUCAAGGUCGUCCCACCUAACCAAAAAUGUUUAUGGUGGCAUUCCAAAAUAGAGUUGAGGCAUAACAAUUUAACGAGUCCCUCCCCCAUAAGCCAACAUUUUAGUUGGCAGAAGUGGUCACUAGAGUAGAGUCCUACAUAAAGGGUGAUGAGAAUAACAAUGAAAAAAAGGCGCACGAUGUCAAAGAGCACGUUCCCAAGGUCGGUGGCUCACAUCACCAGAGGAAGAGAAAUUAUACCUCAACCAUAAGCCAACAUUUUAGUUGGCAGAAGUGGUCACUAGAGUAGAGUCCUACAUAAAGGGUGAUGAGAAUAACAAUGAAAAAAAGGCGCACGAUGUCAAAGAGCACGUUCCCAAGGUCGGUGGCCCACAUCACCAGAGAAAGAGCAACUAUACCUCACCCAAAAAGGACCAUACUACAUUCAAAAGGGUAGGUAAGGUGGCAGAGAACUUCAAACCCUUGAACACUCACCACGAGCUAAUCUGGUACGAGGUUCUCCACCUUCACAACAUCCCUCUGGCGCCUACUCCUAAGACAAAUGUGAUGGGUUCUGAAUUGUUUAGGUGGUGCAAGUUCUAUAUUAUCAAGGGACACCACACCGAAGAUUUCUACUAACUCAAAUAGGAAAUCACUAGAUUAAUACAUGAGGGAAACCUCAAGAAAUAUGUGAGGCGCAACUCCCCCCAUUCGGAAAAUAAGUAUAACCCGCGAAGGCGAGACGAUGUUGGAAGCCCUAGACCCAAAAAAUCCCAAGAUGAUCUUUAAGAAGUAGGUAGUAAAAAUGCGUACCACACACUUAACACCGUAGCUUAAGGAUUAGCCAGGGCAGGGAAACCAACUCCGCCCAAAGCAGGUAUGCUCGCCAGAUCCUGAGUAUGGAAAACCUCCUUAAAGUUAAGACCGAAAGCAAGCGCCAAAUUCACAAGCCAUGAUCGCCUUCUCGGGGAAAGAUGCAGUUGUCAUCCAUCCUCUUAACUAUGACCCCGUGGUCAUUACCGUUAAGUGCGAAAGUUAGGGAAUUAAAAGAGAUAACAUGUACGUGUACGUGUAAAUGGGCAUAUCACCUUGAGGAUCACUUUUAGAUAGCAGGAAAAAGAGAUAAAAGUCAAAUAUCUGGUUAGUGAUGCCCCUUCUUCGUAUAAUAUGAUUAUAGGGCGACCGACCUUUAACCUGCUGGGCGACACCUUGUGAAAUAUGUAUUUGUGCAUGUCUCGAAUAGUUCUUUAUAGAAAAUAUUUGUUUGUUGGUUGAUUUUAGAGAAUAAUGUUUAGGUCGCAUUCAAGCGGUUUAACAUCUACUUGUAUGCUCGCACUAUGGAGGCUGGAUCAUCUGUUUAUAAUUCGUGUAGCAAUGGAUAAAACACUAUUCUUUUAUGAAAAAGUUUAUUUUGAUUGCAUCAGAGUAAAAAGUUAGUUUGGUGAGCUGAGAUUGAUUUUAGGUGGAAGACGAGUAACUGGUUCCAGCAAAGUGUACACUAAGCCUCCGAUACUCGAGAAACAAACAAAAAUACAUUCACCUGCUCCCUUUCUAAUCCAAGUUAAUUUAUAUAUAUUUUUUUAAGUUAACUAAUUACGUUCAUUAUAAUUGAUUCAGUUUUGAAAAUGGAUUUGAUGUAGGUUAACUUGUAAACAUGAUGAUUUAAUUGAAAAUAAUUUGAUUUUUCUUAUUUAUUGUGACAACUAUUCAAUUUGAUUUUUUAUGGAGAAUAAAAAUAGAUUUUUGAUUAUUAGCAUUCACAAUGUUCAUAAAAAUCCUGAAAUCAUCAAUUUAAUUAAUUAUAAAAAAAACAAAUAGCAAAAAUUUAAAACAAGAAAAGGGUGCAAACAAAGGUAGUAAAUUAAAACAAUGGUAUUGAAGUCAAAAAAUACAAAAAAAAGGGAAAGAAAUAAAGGGGGCGUGUGGUAAAAGAGGAGAAUGCCUAAUUGAGAGGGGCCCAAAGCUGGUCAAUAGGGGAAAGGGAGUUGACUUCGUGUGGGCCGCCUGAUUGCAUCAAGCGACCAUGAUGCGUUGUGCAUGAUAAGGCUAGUGAAUGGGGUAGUGUAGGAUCAUGGGAAAGAGAAAAGGAGGGAUCACGCCAUGUGGCGCAUUAUCUGCCACAUAAACUAGUCAAUAGUCAACUACAACAAACGGCCCAGAUUAAUUAUGAAUUUAAGCUUCUUCUUCCCCACUCAUGCAAGGCCAAUUGCACAAUAACAACAUCAAUGACUACUUUUUCUUUGAAAAUCACCUAAUAUGCAUAUAAUUUAACAAAUAAAUAUGCAAAAUUCAUCUAUGAAUCGUCAUGAACAUGAAUCCAUGAUCAAAGUGUAUUAAUUAACAACAAAAAAUGGUGAGAAUUAGGAUUUAAAGUAAACCUGAAUUUGAUUGAGUGGCUCGAUCCGGCCAUAACUUGAUGUUUUGAAUCACUUUGCAUUUUUUCUUCAAACGGUUGAUUUUUUAAUUUUCCGGGUUUUUGUUCUUGAAUGUUCAUGAACACUCAUGAACAUCAAUAACACUAAGAACACCAAUUUUUCAGAAAUUCAUAUUUCAAUUUAUUUUGAACAAAUGAUUAAAGGAUAUAAAACAUAGUAAGUGUAGAAACAAUUUUAUGUAAAAAAAAUCACACAAAAUACAAUGGUCAAGCCUUACCUAAGCGAAAAAACCUCAAGAAUGCGAUGAACACUGAUGAGCAACCCAAAUUCCGAUCAAGCUCCAAUAUUGCUCCAUCUAAACUCGUUUUUCAUGUCUCUUUGUAGAUCUAAACACCUAUUUAUCUUCUAUACCUCAUUCCAUCAUAAUUUCACAAUUUCUACAUUUUUUUUCAAAAUCGAGUUCAAAAUGGAUUUGCGCGAAUUUGAGUUUUGGUGUAGUUGUGUGUAGUUUUUUUUUGUCUAUACUAUGUAAUUGGACUCAUAUUUAUAAUAAUUUUCAUGUUAACAUAAAAGGAAAACAAGUCAUAGUGACAAAUCGCGACCAAUUAAAAACAAGCAUGACAAAUUGCGACCAAUUAGAAACAAGUAUGACACAUUGCAACCCUUUGAACAUGUAUGAUCAAAGAUCGUCGUCAACCUGAAAGAUCGGUGCUUAGAUCAAAGAUAAAAAUAUCUUCGUCAACCCGAAGGUCGAUGCUUACAUCAAGGAUAAAAAGAUCGUUGUCAACUCGAAGGUUGAUGCUUAGAUCAAGGAUAAAAAUAUCGUUGUUAACCCGAAGGUCGAUGCUUAGAUCAAGGAUAAAAAGAUCGACGUCAACCCGAAAGUCGAUGCUUAGAUCAAGGAUAAAAAGGUUGUUGUCAACCCAGAGGUUGAUGCUUAUAUCAAAGUUAAAAAGAUCAUCGUCAACCCGAAAGUUGAUGCUUAGAUCAAACAUGAAAAGAUCAUCGUUAACUUAGAAGCUUGAUGCUAAAAUCGUGGGAUAGGUCGUCGCCAACUCAAGGGUCAGCGCUUGGACCUACAAAUGAGAAAAGAUCACCGUCAACCCAAAGGUCGAUGCUUAGAUCAAAUAGGAAAGGAUCAUCGUUAAUAUGAAGAUUAAUACUUAGAUCAACAUAGGACAAGUUUGUCAUCAACCCGAAGCUCGACGUUUAGAUCACGGUAAAGUGAUCAUCGUCAAUCCGAAGAUUGAUGCUUAGAUCAAGGUGAGAUAAAUCAUCACCAACCAAAGGGUCAGUGCUUAGAUCGCACAUGAUAAGAUCAUCAUUAACAUGGAGGUUGAUGAUGCCUUAGAUCAUUACAGGACAAGAUCGUCGUCAACCCGAAAGUCAAUGCUUAGAUGAAGACAAACUGAUCAUCGUCAACCCAAAGGUCGAUGCUUAGAUCAAGGAUAAGAUCUAAGAAUGAUGAUUAGAUUAACAGAUAGAUCAUGGCCAACCCAAAGGUUAAUCCUUAGAUCAAACAAGAAAAUAUCUUCGUCAACUUGAGAGACCACACAAAUUCAAAUCAGUCGGAAAUUCAAGUGGAAGCAGUUGAGAAAGUUACGAUUGGUACAAGCACGAAAGAAAGUUUUUCUGUCAACUAGUGCAAUAUUGAAACCACACCACCAAAACUAGAUAAUAUUGAGAGACUAUCAAUUAUAUUCGAAAGUAUUCCAAACCCGUUCCUGGAUAUUACAUUAAGUCAUGAUCCAAGUCAAUUAUUUGUACUUUCUAAGGAUUCAAAUAAUGAAGAUUUGAAGGGACAUGAGUACCUAGACAAUUCCAUAUUACAAAUUUGGUGUUCGUAAGUAUAGCUUUUAUGUUGAUUUUUAUUUAUAUUCAUAAGUUCUUGUACAUUAACAUAAAGAUUUGACUCUUGCAGGUUCAUGCAUGAGUUCUGUGUUGAAAGUAAUACAAAUAAGUAGUAUUUCUUAGAUCCAUCGCGGCUUGGUCUUACUCACGGUUCGACAGGAAACAAUAUCUUUGUUUACAUACAAGAAAAGUUGAAAGAGAACAAAGAGUAUUAUUUGGUCCGUUUUUACUGUGAGUAAGUAUAUAUUAAUUUGUAUUUUCCUUUAUAAAUCAAAUUUAUACAUAUUAUUAAUUAUUCUGAAUUUUUAUGCAUUGAACAUUGACAACUAAUUGUUAUAUGUCCGAGGAAAAAUGUUAUAAUUGUGUUUUGCUCGUUGCGCUUUGUGCUGCCUAAAGUUGUGGUUAACACUUUGAAUGCGUAAGUGGUAUUAUUCUUAAUAUUCAAAUUUUAAUUUUAGAUUUGAAUAGUUUCUAUUCAUUUUUAAUUUUAACCAACAUGUGUAGAAUGAUUGAAGAACAUAAUGCAAUCAAACAAAAUUUACUUGGUUAAAAGCCAAACUAUGGAUAUCCAAAAGUAAGUAUACUACUUGUGCUUUUUGACUGUAUUAUUUGUGUGUAUUAGUGGUAUAAAUAUAUGAAAUUAUUCGUAGUGACGAAAACAACCCAACAACUAUUCUUGGGGAUACUAUGUUAUAAGAUAUAGACAUUACAAAUGGAUGGAUGAAGCACCAGGUAUACAUAUAUAUACACAUAUUUAUAUUUCUUAAGUUAAUGUUGUUGUUGUUAGCUUAUCGUAGUUUAAAGUUUGUUUUAAUUAUGAGUUUAAUGACAGAACACCAUACUCAAAAGAAGAUAUAAAUGACAUCCGAUCACAUUGGAUCAUUGCCUUCUAUUCAUUUUUUUUUGAAUCUUGACAACAAUAAUUUUUCUUGGUUGUUAUAAUAUUAAUUUGUAUAUGUACAUAGGUUUUGUCAUUUUUAUAUGCAAAUAUGUAAAUGUGUGUAUUUUGUAUUGAUGAGAAUAAUGUAAAUGUGUACAUUUGGUUUUGAAAGCAAUGAUAAUUUAUUAUUAUGUAUUUAAAAGAUUUAAAAUGAUAUGAUAUAUUUCAAUUUUGUCAUAUAUUUUGUAAUUUCUAUAUAAGAAAUGAUACAGGUCAGUGAAAAUAAGAUUUACAACAAUGUAAAUUUGAUAUUAUGUGUUUACAGGCUAAUGAAAAUAAGAUUUAUAAUGAUAUGAUACAAACUAGUGAAAAUAAAAUUUAUAAUGAUAUGAUACAAGCCAGUGAAAAUGAGAUUUAAAACAAAUUAUAUAUGAAAAUAAAUAAGAUUUAACCCCUCGAUUAUCACCUAAAAUCAAAGUAAAAGUAUACCUUAUUACCUCAAUUUUAAAUAAAACCGAGAGGUAUAUGACACACGCAACAAAAUUUGGAAAAUAAAAAUAUGUUAUUGCUAGGGAUCGAACCAAUGACCAUUUACUUUCUAAAAUCGAGGAAAAAAUGGCAAGUUAUCAUGUCACCCUUCGUUACCUCGUAUGUGUAAUCGAGAUAAAAGUCAUUUCGCGACAGAGAUAAGAUGUGUUAUUUAUAAUAGUGUUAUCAAUUGGAUAUGGCAAGAUCACGGGAAAGAGAAAAGGGGGACAACUACAUGUGACACGAGAUCUGACACAGAAACUAGUCAACAAACAACUGCAACGAAUGGUCCUGAUUACUUUUGGAUUUAAGCUUCUUUUUCCCUACUCAUGCAAGACCAAUUGCACAACAACAACAAUGAUUAUUUUUUCUUGGAAAAUCACCAAAUAUGCAUGGAAUUGACAAAUAAAUAUGCAAAAUUCAUCUACGAAUCAUCACGAACAUGAAUCUAUGAUCAAAGUGUAUCAAUUAACAAUAAAAAAUGACAAAAAUUAGAAUUUAAAAUGAAUUCAAAUUUGACUUUGAGGGACUCAAUCCGGCCAUAACUUAGUGUUUUAGACCAAAAAUAAUAAUUAAUUUAAAAAUAUAUACAUAAUACCAUAAUGUAUAAGAUUUGUCUAAACAUACCAUUUAUAAUAAGCAGAGAUUUAUGAUUGAUAUUAGCUAUAAUUAGCUUUAACAUUACACAAGACAACCAAACACAAAGCAACUAUAGCCACUUUAUUUUAUUUUAAAAAAGCAAACAUAUAUGAUAUGCUUUUUCUACAUCAUAUCAUUACAUAUAUUGCCUCCAAUAUCUCUGCUUCAAACUUUCAUAUUCAUUUGCAGUUGCAAGGGUCACAAGUGCAGCUAUCUCCACACUUGCAGCCACCAUCCUCAGCUGCAACACUCAUUUCAGCACCAUCAAACUGGAUCUUCGCCGGACCGACGCCAAGAAUCACGGUCUCUGUGGUUUCCAUUUCGGAGUAGCUCAAUCCACUAGACCUCUUGCUGCAUCUGCACAGCAAUAAAAAUCAAUUAUACAUAUUAAUAUAUGUUUUUAAUUUAUGGACGGCUAAAGGGAAACCUUAUCUUAUUUUAAUACCAUCAAAAAGCUUUUUAAGAUAUUCAAGUGACAAUUGAUUCAAUAUUGGCCAUCAAUUCAUAGUCUUUAGACAGUUAAAAUCUGAAAGAGAAAAAUCUAUGGAGAGAAUUAAAGACAAAAACUUUUGUUUUCUUCUUUUGAGGCAGCUAAUAAAAGACAUAACUCUUUACAAAGUAUCUACUUUUCUUGAGUAGUGAUAAAUCUUUUCAAAAUAUUCUAUAUUUUUGACAAAUAACCAAUAAGAUUGUUGGGUUUAUAUUUUAAUUUAAAACUUCUUAAUUUUAAAAAGUAAAAAUUUAUUUUAGAUUUAAAUUGUCUAAUCCCAAUAAUCAAAUUUCUUAAAACAUUUCAUGUCAAUAAAUCUGAUUUUUAAAUUUUUAAAUGAAUUUAUUUUAAAUUUAAAUUGUUUAAUAAAUUUAAAAAAUCUGAAUUAUAAAAAUCAGGUUAAUCAAUUAUUCAGUAAAUAUGAACUUUAUUUUAAUUUUUGUUUAGAAUAAUAAUAAGAAUGAGGAUAGUCAAAAGUAACCAUAAAAAAUGGAAGUAUCUAAUUUCAUAAAACCCAACCAAAAAGUACUUAAAAAAUACAAUAUUAUAUUAACAAAUAUAUGUAAGAUUCAUUCAUAAGAUAAACAAUAAACUCGAAAGAAUUAAGGUGGUGAAUCCUUACUUGCAGCUAUCACCACAGUUGCAACUGCUUCCACAACCACAGCUAGACAUAUUUUCAGAAACUAAGAUUUUUAAUGGUGCUGUUAUCUUCACUACAAUUGAUGUCUUUUAAUGGUGCUGCGUGCCCU